AGAGUUUGAUCCUGGCUCAGAACGAACGCUGGCGGCAGGCCUAACACAUGCAAGUCGAGCGCCCGCAAGGGAGCGGCAGACGGGUGAGUAACGCGUGGGAACGUGCCCUUUGGUUCGGAAUAUUCCCGGGAAACUGGGAGCAAAACCGGAUAAGCCCUUCAGGGGAAAGUUUACGCCAAAGGAUCGGCCCGCGUUAGAUUAGGUAGUUGGUGGGGUAACGGCCUACCAAGCCUACGAUCUAUAGCUGAUCUGAGAGGAUGAUCAGCCACACUGGGACUGAGACACGGCCCAGACUCCUACGGGAGGCAGCAGUGGGGAAUCUUGGACAAUGGGCGCAAGCCUGAUCCAGCCAUGCCGCGUGGAUGACUGAAGGCCCUAGGGUUGUAAAGUCCUUUCGACGGGGACGAUAAUGACGGUACCCGUAGAAGAAGCCCCGGCUAACUUCGUGCCAGCAGCCGCGGUAAUACGAAGGGGGCUAGCGUUGUUCGGAUUUACUGGGCGUAAAGGGCGCGUAGGCGGAUUUUUAAGUCGGGGGUGAAAUCCCGGAGCUCAACUCCGGAACUGCCUUCGAUACUGGAAGUCUGGAGCACGGUAGAGGUGGGUGGAAUUCCGAGUGUAGCGGUGAAAUGCGUAGA
rnacentral:rRNA from 1 species